rnacentral:rRNA from 1 species
CAGCAGCCACGGUAAUACGUAGGUGGCAAGCGUUGUCCGGAAUUAUUGAGCGUAAAGGGCUCGCAGGCGGUUUCUUAAGUCUGAUGUGAAAGCCCCCGGCUCAACCGGGGAGGGUCAUUGGAAACUGGGAAACUUGAGUGCAGAAGAGGAGAGUGGAAUUCCACGUGUAGCGGUGAAAUGCGUAGAGAUGUGGAGGAACACCAGUGGCGAAGGCGGCUCUCUGGACUGUAACUGACGCUGAGGCGCGAGAGCGUGGGGAGCAAACAGGAUUAGAUACCCGAGUAGUCCCUGUCUCUUAUAC